CCCUUAGAUGUCCUGGGCUGCACGCGCGCUACACUGACGAACUCAACGAGCUUAUCACCUUGGCAGAGAUGUCUGGGUAAUCUUUUGAAAGUUCGUCGUGCUGGGGAUAAAUGAUUGUAAUUAUUCGUCUUGAACGAGGAAUUCCUAGUAAGUGUGAGUCAUCAGCUCGCGCUGAUUACGUCCCUGCCCUUUGUACACACCGCCCGUCGCUCCUACCGAUUGAAUGGUCCGGUGAGGUUCUCGGAUUUUUUCUGUUGUUUGGUUCGCUAAACGAUUGAAGAGAGAAGUUACCCAAACCUUACCAUUUAGAGGAAGGAGAAGUCGUAACA
rnacentral:rRNA from 1 species